rnacentral:rRNA from 1 species
CCUACGGGUGGCAGCAGUCGAGAAUCAUUCACAAUGGGGGAAACCCUGAUGGUGCGACGCCGCGUGGGGGAAUGAAGGUCUUCGGAUUGUAAACCCCUGUCAUGUGGGAGCAAAUUAAAAAGAUAGUACCACAAGAGGAAGAGACGGCUAACUCUGUGCCAGCAGCCGCGGUAAUACAGAGGUCUCAAGCGUUGUUCGGAAUCACUGGGCGGAAAGCGUGCGUAGGCUGUUUCGUAAGUCGUGUGUGAAAGGCGCGGGCUCAACCCGCGGACGGCACAUGAUACUGCGAGACUAGAGUAAUGGAGCGGUAAGCGGAAUGCUCGGUGUAGCAGUGAAAUGCGUAGAUAUCGAGAGGAACACUGGUGGCGAAGGCGGGUUCCUGGACAUUAACUGACGUUGAGGCACGAAGGCCAGGGGAGCGAAAGGGAUUAGAUACCCGGGUAGUC